AAAGAAAACAGUUCAGCACUAAGUCACUUUGUCUAUAUGGCAAAUGUGAGAUGCAGUGUAUGGAGCGUCAAUAUUCUAGUAUGAGAAAUUAAUGAUUUAAGUCCUUCUUAAAUGAGGCCAUUUACCCAUAGAGGGUGCCAGGCCCGUAUAACGUUAAUGAUUACUAGAUGAUGUUUCCAAAGAGUCGUGUUGCUUGAUAGUGCAGCACUAAGUGGGUGGUAAACUCCAUCUAAAACUAAAUAUAACCAUGAGACCGAUAGUAAACAAGUACCGUGAGGGAAAGUUGAAAAGAACUCUGAAUAGAGAGUUAAACAGUACGUGAAACUGCUUAGAGGUUAAGCCCGAUGAACCUGAAUAUCCGUUAUGGAAAAUUCAUCAUUAAAAUUGUAAUAUUUAAAUAAUAUUAUUAAGAAUAAUGUGCAUUUUUUCCAUAUAAGGACAUUGUAAUCUAUUAGCAUAUCCCAAAUUUAUCAUAAAAUAUAACUUAUAGUUUAUUCCAAUUAAAUUGCUUGCAUUUUAACACAGAAUAAAUGUUAUUAAUUUGAUAAAGUGCUGAUAGAUUUAUAUUAUUACAGAGCGUUAAUUUUUCGGAAUUAUAUAAUGGCAUAAUUAUCAUUGAUUUUUGUGUUUAUUAUAUGCUCUUGUAUGAUUAA
rnacentral:rRNA from 1 species